AUUGAACGCUGGCGGCGUGCCUAAUACAUGCAAGUUGAGCGCUGAAGGUUGGUACUUGUACCGACUGGAUGAGCAGCGAACGGGUGAGUAACGCGUGGGGAAUCUGCCUUUGAGCGGGGGACAACAUUUGGAAACGAAUGUUAAUACCGCAUAAAAACUUUAAACACAAGUUUUAAGUUUGAAAGAUGCAAUUGCAUCACUCAAAGAUGAUCCAGGGUUGUAUUAGCUAGGUGGUGAGGUAAAGGCUCACCAAGGCGAUGAUACAUAGCCGACCUGAGAGGGUGAUCGGCCACAUUGGGACUGAGACACGGCCCAAACUCCUACGGGAGGCAGCAGUAGGGAAUCUUCGGCAAUGGACGAAAGUCUGACCGAGCAACGCCGCGUGAGUGAAGAAGGUUUUCGGAUCGUAAAACUCUGUUGGUAGAGAAGAACGUUGGUGAGAGUGGAAAGCUCAUCAAGUGACGGUAACUACCCAGAAAGGGACGGCUAACUACGUGCCAGCAGCCGCAGUAA
rnacentral:rRNA from 1 species